rnacentral:rRNA from 1 species
CCUUUUGGUUCGGAACAACACAGGGAAACUUGUGCUAAUACCGGAUAAGCCCUUACGGGGAAAGAUUUAUCGCCGAAAGAUCGGCCCGCGUCUGAUUAGCUAGUUGGUAGGGUAAUGGCCUACCAAGGCGACGAUCAGUAGCUGGUCUGAGAGGAUGAUCAGCCACAUUGGGACUGAGACACGGCCCAAACUCCUACGGGAGGCAGCAGUGGGGAAUAUUGGACAAUGGGCGAAAGCCUGAUCCAGCCAUGCCGCGUGAGUGAUGAAGGCCCUAGGGUUGUAAAGCUCUUUUGUGCGGGAAGAUAAUGACGGUACCGCAAGAAUAAGC